UCCGCCUCUGAUAACCUUUACCUCCAAUGCUUACAAGGACAACACUUUUGCAUUCCCCUGGCUCAAAUCGUAUAGCUGUUCCUGCUAGAAUGUUCAGGCGCAUGCCAUAUGCUUUCAUUCGAUCAAAACACAAGCAUGGGUUUGUNCUGCCCACCUGAAUUGGUCUGUCUCCACGGUUCACAACUUUGAGAAUCACUGCUUUCCUUCCAGGAUUAAGUGUAAUAUUUCCAUCUCCAAAGAUAAACACGCCCGGAAUUUCAUUUUCUUCUAUUCCAGGAAACUUGUCAAGUGAAGGAACUGGAAGAAAGGAACCAUGUAAAGCUAGCUCCAGAUUUCCA
rnacentral:misc_RNA from 1 species